rnacentral:rRNA from 1 species
GACGAACGCUGGCGGCGUGCUUAACACAUGCAAGUCGAACGAAGUGGCGAACGGGUGAGUAAUACGUGGGUAACCUGCCCUCCUUUUUGGGAUAAGCCUUGGAAACGGGGUCUAAUACCGACUAAAGGGGGAUGGGCUCGCGGCCUAUCAGCUUGUUGGUGGGGUGAGGGCCUACCAAGGCGGUGCUCAGUAGCCGGUCUGAGAGGACGGACGGCCACAAUGGGACUGGGGCACGGCCCAGACUCCUACGGGGGGGAGCAGUGGGGAAUCAUCCGCAAAUGACGAAAGUCUGACGGAGCAACGCCGGGUGGGUGAUGACGGCCUUCGGGUUGUAAAGCUCUGUUAAUCGGGACGCGGUACCGGAAUAGAAAGCCACGGCUAACUACGUGCCAGCCGCCGCGGUAUUAC